GUCCUAGCUGUAAACGAUGACAACUAGGCGUGGGAGGUAUCGACCCCUUCCGUGCCGAAGCUAACGCAUUAAGUUGUCCGCCUGGGGAGUACGGCCGCAAGGUUAAACUCAAAGGAAUUGACGGGGCCCGCACAAGCGGUGGAGCAUGUGGUUUAAUUCGACGCUACGCGAAGAACCUUACCUGGGCUUGAAGUGCUAGUGGUACCCUUUUGGAAACAUGAGGGGACCCGCAAGGGAGCUAGCAGAGGUGCUGCAUGGCUGUCGU
rnacentral:rRNA from 1 species